rnacentral:sRNA from 1 species
AGAUUGUUAUAGUCUAAGAAAAACACGC